GAUGAACGCUGGCGGCGUGCCUAAUACAUGCAAGUCGAGCGAACAGACGAGGAGCUUGCUCCUCUGACGUUAGCGGCGGACGGGUGAGUAACACGUGGAUAACCUACCUAUAAGACUGGGAUAACUUCGGGAAACCGGAGCUAAUACCGGAUAAUAUAUUGAACCGCAUGGUUCAAUAGUGAAAGACGGUUUUGCUGUCACUUAUAGAUGGAUCCGCGCCGCAUUAGCUAGUUGGUAAGGUAACGGCUUACCAAGACAACGAUGCGUAGCCGACCUGAGAGGGUGAUCGGCCACACUGGAACUGAGACACGGUCCAGACUCCUACGGGAGGCAGCAGUAGGGAAUCUUCCACAAUGGGCGAAAGCCUGACGGAGCAACGCCGCGUGAGUGAUGAAGGUCUUCGGAUCGUAAAACUCUGUUAUUAGGGAAGAACAAAUGUGUAAGUAACUAUGCACGUCUUGACGGUACCUAAUCAGAAAGCCACGGCUAACUACGUG
rnacentral:rRNA from 1 species